GUCUCGGCAUUAUUGGGCGUAAGGGCUCGCAGGCGGUUUCUUAAGUCUGAUGUGAAAGCCCCCGGCUCAACCGGGGAGGGUCAUUGGAAACUGGGAAACUUGAGUGCAAAAAAGGAAAGUGGAAUUCCACGUGUAGCGGUGAAAUGCGUAAAGAUGUGGAGGAACACCAGUGGCGAAGGCGACUCUCUGGUCUGUAACUGACGCUGAGGAGCGAAAGCGUGGGGAGCGAACAGGAUUAAAUACCCUGGUAGUCCACGCCGUAAACGAUGAGUGCUAAGUGUUAGGGGGUUUCCGCCCCUUAGUGCUGCAGCUAACGCAUUAAGCACUCCGCCUGGGGAGUACGGUCGCAAGACUGAAACUCAAAGGAAUUGACGGGGGCCCGCACAAGCGGUGGAGCAUGUGGUUUAAUUCGAAGCAACGCGAAAAACCUUACCAGGUCUUGACAUCCUCUGACAACCCUAGAGAUAGGGCUUUCCCUUCGGGGACAGAGUGACAGGUGGUGCAUGGUUGUCGUCAGCUCGUGUCGUGAGAUGUUGGGUUAAGUCCCGCAACGAGCGCAACCCUUGAUCUUAGUUGCCAGCAUUCAGUUGGGCACUCUAAGGUGACUGCCGGUGACAAACCGGAGGAAGGUGGGGAUGACGUCAAAUCAUCAUGCCCCUUAUGACCUGGGCUACACACGUGCUACAAUGGACAGAACAAAGGGCUGCAAGACCGCAAGGUUUAGCCAAUCCCAUAAAUCUGUUCUCAGUUCGGAUCGCAGUCUGCAACUCGACUGCGUGAAGCUGGAAUCGCUAGUAAUCGCGGAUCACAUGCCGCGGGGGAAAUACGUUCCCGGGCCUUGUACACACCGCCCGUCACACCACGAGAGUUUGCAACACCCGAAGUCGGUGAGGUAACCUUUAUGGAGCCAGCCGCCGAAGGUGGGGCAAAUGAUUGGGGUGAGUC
rnacentral:rRNA from 1 species